AUGCAGCCAUGCCGCGUGUGUGAAGAAGGCCUUCGGGUUGUAAAGCACUUUCAGCGAGGAGGAAGGCAUAAAGGUUAAUAACCUUUGUGAUUGACGUUACUCGCAGAAGAAGCACCGGCUAACUCCGUGCCAGCAGCCGCGGUAA
rnacentral:rRNA from 1 species